CCAGCUUUGGGCUGUAACUGCCACGUUUAAGCAAUUGGUCCUGAAUUGGCACUCUCAGUUGGGUCCCGCCAUAACCGCAUCGUCACAGGCGGGCCCACAUGGGG